CCAUUUCGCUUUGCCGAGAUUAGCAAACCGCAAAGUGUUUUCUGUGCGCGCGGAAGACCGCAGUCACGAGCGAAACGUCGCGAAAGGAACCUGUCAAGUGAGCGCAUUCUCCCCGCCGGUUAGGCACAAGCGAAAUAGAAGUCGACCAGUCAAAAUCGAGCUGCCCUGUAGCUGUCGUCAACCACCGCAAACAUACGGUGAUAUUAUAUGGGCAACAGCGCCGAACUUUUCGCGGCGCUGGCGUCAGUCCGAGGCGGUACAGGCCCCGCUGCGGGGCGUUCGUGCUAUGCGUGCUGGCGGCAGUACACGAACAAAGUUGUGAAGCGGUGCAGCGUGGCUUUUACCACAUUUCAGCACAAUGCUCAGUGCCAACGUUUGCUUCUGUACGUGCUUCGCCAGGAUGUUCGGCCCCUUCUUGGACGGAGCUGGCUGCAGCAAAUAAAGCUAGGCCGGGUGCAAGUCUGCAGCCUAAGGAAUCGGCAGCAUGUGCAAACGGCCAGCUCGAAGCCUCCCGUGUUGCAAAGCCUGCUGGACCGUUACCCAGACAUGUUCAAGGAUGAGCGGGAUACCAUUCAAGGAUGGGCCGGCCCACGAGUAUGCUGCACGCUUCCAUCACCGUUCACACGAUGUAGAGUUCUUACACAACACUCAAGAGGAUGUUCAUGAGCAGUGCAUUUACGUGACGCCAGUCAGCAUCAGAAGCUCUGUCAACGGCUGUGGAAUCUCUAAACUUUAAAGGACGGAAGAGGAUUUCUAUUGUAUGGCCUGAACUAGAUCCUCCUAUAACCUGCCACGACAGUUUUGGGCAGCACAGUUGAGUCGAAAGUUUUACACAACCCACAAAGGGGCCCAAACUGGACAGGCGCUAACUUCCAUCUUCCACCGACUUUCCAGCCGGUCAAAAGCCAGAAGACAGGCGGUGCAAAGUGAAACACAAGGAAGAAUUUGUCUCAUGUGCCCAAGAUGUUGUCUAUCGGAUACCACAAUCUUGCGGCAAAAUAUACCUAGGGCAGACGGAACGAUGCCUAAACGAGUGGUUAAGGAAGCACAACUGGAAUGUGAAAAAUGGAGGACAGGGACGCCUGGUGUUACACUGCCGAGACUGUAAGUGCGAGCCACAUCUUGAUAACACUGCAGUCUUCUUUAAAGACAAGGGUCGUUGCACGCACGAGACCAUGGAAGCUGAAAUAAUGACUAGUGAUGUAUAUGGGUGCAUCAGCUCACCAUCUCUUUUGUUAUCUGCCAAAGAAAUCCACUUUAUUGAGUGAAGGCAGUUGGUUACAACUGCUUAGUAAUGGACACAUGUUAGACAGUACGAUCAAAUGAUUGGUUAUGUGCAUUCUUGUCUUUUGUGUUUCUUUUUGUCUGUUUUUCUGUAUAUAAUGUUUGUAUCUUGCAUUAAACACUAGGUGGAAGUUA